UCCAGGGAGAGGGGAGGGCGCAGGGGCGGGCCGCCCCGGGAGUUUGUUUUGCAGGGAGCCGGGCCGGGGGGGGGGGGGGGGGGGGGGCGGCUGCCCGCCCACGAAGGGGCCGAACUGAAAGCGGGGAGCCGGGGCGCUGGGAAGCUGGGGCCGGGCGGAGGAAAGGCGAAGGCAGGGGCGUCCGUCCCCUUCAUCCUGGCGCGGCGCGGGGGAGGGAGGCCCGGCUGGCUGGCUGGCUUCGGAUCGGGUUGCAGCGCGGCCGGUGGGAGCCGGGUGACACCCCCUGCGCCGUCAGCCACGGAGGGGGAUGGGGCCGGGAGAGAAGCGCUGGGCUGGAGUGUGCAGUCGCCAUGCUCAGGAGGGAAGGGGCUCCUUUGUCUGCCCGAGGGGAGAGCUCCUGGGUGCAUGAAUCCCCCCCCCCCCCCCCAGCGCCUCUCCUGGCACAAGGGGGCGACUCGUGCAAAGCGCUGCCCCCCUCCCCCGACACCUAGCCACCUUUGCACCCCGAAGUGGCCCCAGCCCUGGCUGUUCCCCUGUCGGCGUUCGCUUGCCACGGGGAUCGGAGCGGCUGUAAGCGGAAAGGGCCACCGGGCUUAACGCAAACGCUGGGGAAGGCGGGGAAGGAGCAGCCAACGUGCCCUUCAGAAUCGGGAGCAUUCACUCCGGGAACCUGAUUCUCGAGUUCCAGCCGUGGGCCAAGAACAGAGCCCAAAGACCGACCACAGCAGCCUGAAAGAGCAGUUUCUCCUACUACACCGGCUCACCCAAAGAAACCCUGCAGCAACUCACUGUGAAUGCAUAAAAUCCAAGAAACUCACCAGCCACUUGGUGACCAUUUGCAAAUAGAACAGGAGGCAGAAUUCAUGGAACACCCGGUAUUUCUAGCUACUGUUCCCUUGGGGUUUCUGCCACCUGGAAGCUCUGAAGAGCCAGACCAUCACUCCCUGUUUUCAAGAGGGAAUGAUGCAGUGGAGAACAGCAGUUCAGGAGACACAAUUGUAUCCCCAUGCACCCUUUAAGGCAUGAAAGGGAGGACUGUUCCCAAAGUAAGCCAUAGCUCCCUGGGAACUGAGCUCGGCCAGUCUCUAAGUAGCACUUCUCUUGAGGUACAAAAAACGGCUCUUACCCUAUUGUUUGAACACGGGAAAAUAUUAUGCAAAAGAUUAAAAUAAACAUUUUGGGGAAACAGGGGCAGAUUGAGCAGUUACUGCCAUGCUGCCUGUUGCUGCAGUAUGCUCUCAGGUCUGCCCUGGGCUUUUGGCUCCCCAGCCAGGCCUUGAGAGUGCACUCAGGACUUGCAAAUGCAAGGACGUUUCCAAAAUCUAAGCACUUUCAGCUGCUUAGUCUCUAAGGUGCCACUAGUACUCCUUUUCUUUUUGCGAAUACAGACUAACACAGCUGCUACUCUGAAAUAGGCAUCACAGCGACCUUGACGAAACUACAGCAGGAGAGGGACACAAAGUGUAAACACCAUGUGACGGUGGGGUUGAGCUGACCGGAAAUCAUGUCAGUUUCCAAUUGCAGGCUGGCUCCUGCCAGCUGUGCUCUUCUCUGUCGGGACUUGCACCAUGGCAUUACAAGAGUGGCCACUUCGAUGAGCACAGAGAAUGUCCUCAUUGGCCCCAGAAGCAGCUCUGGUGUAAAAUCACCACUCAGCAUCUGAGGGAGGAAAUGGUUUAACAAACCAAUGGGCUGACAGUUUCUGCUGCUCGCUCACGGGAAGUGAAAUGAGGUAAAGCAAAAGUGCGUUGUUCUCCAGCAAGACAACGAUCCUACUGGGAGCCGUGGAACAAGGUACUGUAAAGCUGUGAAUCUGGAGGGGGUUGGCAUGCAAUGAGCCUCCAGGCAACUUUCAGGAAUAAAAAUAAAAUGAAUCUGUGUUCACAUGCUGUCAGUCUGCUGUAGAUUGCUUUCCGAUUGUGCUAUGCUCCCUGAGAACGUCAGUUCUGAUCCUGACAGUACUUAUGUCCAUUCUGCACUGUCAUAACCUCCACCAACUUCCACAGGGACGCUUGGAGCACACUGGACUAAGCAAGAGGCCCAAGUCCAUUGGGAAUAGACAGUGCUCUACCAUUCCCAGGAUUGAACCUGUAGAUACUUAAGGGCAACAUGUCACAUCUGAUGAAGUGAGCUGUAGCUCACGAAAGCUUAUGCUCAAAUAAAUUUGUUAGUCUCUAAGGUGCCACAAGUCCUCCUUUUCUUUUUGCGAAUACAGACUAACACAGCUGCUACUCUGAAACAUGUCACUUAGGGUUUGUCUACACAGCAGGGGAAUGUAUUCUGUGGGGGAGUGAUUUCUAAAGCGCACUCAUGUCUUGUGCAUUAGUUGGUCCAUGAAGACACAGUAGUACAUUAAAGCACACUAAGUAACCUUUAGUGCGCACCAGCAGGGUCUAUGCAGACCAAUUAAUAUGCAACACAUGAGUGCACUUUAGAAAUCACACCCCGGUAGAGCACAUUACCUUAUGGUGUAAACAAGUGCUAAAUUAUGGAAAGUUUGGAAACAGUAUUUCAAUAGACACAGAUAGUGCCAAACAUUUUACUGAUUUAAUCUCAGAUUAAGAUGGCCACAGCAUUUAUGGGGUGAAACUGCAGCCCGUGGAAACUCUUAAUGAGGUUGUCACUCGAGGAACUUGGACUGUGUCCCACCUAGGGAAAAGGGAUUGGCCAUCCUAUGGGGUACUGAAAAUUAAUCCCCUUCGUAAAGUAACCAGUAUGAAUUCUCCAAUACACAGGGUAAAAUUCUGUUCUCUGCAUAUUGGAACUAUAUGCUGAUAUUCUGGUCUCUCUGCAAAGGUGGAUCUCUCAGCGAUAUCAAUGGUCUCCCACAUGUACACUGUGUGGAGAGAAUAUUGGUCUGAAGUCCUCUCUAAGGGCUUGGCUACAAGGGGACAUCCAGGAACAUAAAUCCAAAUUAACUAAAGGUGUGAAUUUGAAGUGGAUUAGUUAAACUGCAUUAAACGCUGUGUGAACACCAUCCUUCAGAAUUAAUGUGGCCUUACUUCAGGAAGGCUGCUUAAUUCUGAAUGAGGGUGUUCACACAGGAGUUUGAUGUGGUUUAACUAAUCCAUUUCAAAUCCACACCUUUAGUUAAUUUGGAUUUAUGUUCCUGGAUGACCAUGUGUAGAGAAAUCCUUAAGACUUCGUCUACACUACAAAAUGAAGGUGUUUUUUUUUUUUUUUAUAGCACAGGUAGGUUUAUCAUUGCUAUCUUUAAUCUAGCUAGCCACAGGUCCCAGUAGUAGUGAAGACAGGUGGUAUAGGCUACCAACCUCGGUACAAGCCUGCCAGAGACUCUGGGUACAUAUUCUUGUUGCUAGUCUGUGGUGUAGCCCAUGCUGCCAUGGGUUUGCUAGUACUGUUACCCACACUAGCUAGAUUAAAACCAGGCAUACACUGUAACACCAUCAUCUGGAGAACUUUGUGGUCUGGGUAUAUUACCUUGAAACAGGAUCUACCUCAAUAAUAAUCUUAUUUAACUAACUACAGGCUCAAUAGAUUUUUCUAAACACUAAAUAUCUGAGCUGUUUCAACUCCUUUUUAUAAUAUCAAAAGAACUUGUCUCAUUUUAAAGCUACAGUCAAGCAGAUGAAAUCUACAUUUUUUGAUUAGUUUUUUUUUUUAAAUAAGAUGAAAGAAUCUAUUUAAUAGAAAGUAUUUAAUGGUUAUUUUUAAAGGAAAAAAUAUUUUUGACUGACAAUUUCCAGCAGUGUCUGCAGCCCAAACAUUGCAACACUUGGGCUAGUGCAUGAAAACCUCAAAGUGACCAGAAACAGACGUGGAAGUGAAGGUGUCUAUUUUCAUUACUUGCAUUUAUUCAGGGUGGAUAAAUGGCAUAAAUGAAGAAUGAAUCUGAAUUUUGAAAUUCUGUCUUCAUCAUUUAGGUUGUUAUUAGUGACAGAGGCAAGGACACCUGUUACGUAAGGUUUGUUUUCUGAACAAUGUAAAUGCUUGGGUGCACGUCUGACGUGUAUGCACAUUUAAUGCAACUGUGUAUGCAAACUAGAAAAUUACAUAUGCAACUAGAUGAUUGAAUGUGCAGUUGCAAUCGCAUAUAUGUAAAACCAUGAUCCGGGCAACAAUUUACAUUCUAUACUGUAAUAAAAUACAAGCUUGUGUACUAUCAGGGCUUAAAUUAAACUCAUCUUCUUUAAACCCCAGGCCCAUUGUUUUUAGCCUACUGUUUCUUCUUUUAAAUUAAAUCCGAUGUGAGCCUUCCAGGAAAGCAUCCAACAUCGAAGGCAAAGCCCAGAUUACACGUUUAGUCAAUGUAACCUCAAUAAUAGACUAGUCAAGGUAUUAUAUUGGUAGCAUUGAAACCUUUUUAAAUUGGGGAUGUGAAAAAAUUUCUACACUAUAUUGCCUAUUUUAAAAAUUGUUUUAAAAUCUUGAACGUUACCAUAAUAACCCAGCCUUAGAAAGCUUCCUUAUUCCUUUUAAACCCCUUUGAGAGUCCCCUAAAGAUAUCCUAAGAGAUUUUCUCCUUCCCCCUGCCCAGCAAUAGGGAGCAGCUGGGUCUAUUUAAAAUUGAUUUUGAUCUCUCCAAGCAGGAUUUGAUUUCUCCGCACACUGAGCUUUUGCCUGAAGAGAGUGCACAGUAGAGCAGAAAUUCUGAGAUGUCAGCUGGCGUGGCAAGAGUCGGAGAGAAAAUGAGCAGCUCACUCUGUGCCCACUGGCAUAAGCAUGAGACGGCGACACGGGCAAAGUGAUUGUCAAUGUGACAGUGGUUGGAGUUUGCUGGCCGUAUACAAUUAAAACAGAAUAAAACCCUCUUCCUGCUGAGCUCCAGAUCACAGAUGGUCCCAAUGGGGUGCAGCAGCAUAAGAAAUGCUCAUGCAAAGUGUUCAGCAUCUGGUAGAAUCAGACACAAACUUAACACCAGUAUUCUUAAAUAUCUGAAAAGUUGAAUAUUGAGCAACAAGUUUCAGGAGAAGUGGACUUUCAGAGAAGACUACAUUCUCCAAGCUGUGAUAGAAGAUGUGUGGGUUCGUGGAGGGAAUCCAAGUAAUAUUUGGAAAUAUUAAAAUACAGUGUAUAUUGUUUGGUAUUGCUUUAGAUGUCUGAGUUUUUUCAGGACAGGGAAUGUGAGGGAAGUCGGAAAUGAAAGGGGUGGGGUGUAGGAACGAGAUACCAUUAAGAGUUCUAGCCAACCACUAAUUUGCUAUUCAGUUUACCAGCCUGUAGUUUAUUAUGUAUGGUAUGUGAAGGAACCUGUUUAGCCAAAAGGGAAAUGCCUUUUGUGUUAAGAGUGACCCUAAUCUAAUAUGGCCUUUUGACUUGACUCAAUUAAAUCCUUUCUGUUUCAAUUAAAUAAUCAGCCACAAUUUAAUAAAAUGAAUUUCCGUGUGUUGUCUCCGUGUCUGAUGACUUUAGAGAUCAAGAAACCUCAUGUAAAUUCUGUGAAUUACUUUUUAUCAGCUUGUGUGUCACUUCCACAAAAAAAUGCUGCCUGUCAGUGUAUUAAAAUUCUUUCCCCAUCUUCUCAUUGCAACACUGUUUACAAUCAUGAUUCCCAGCUGACGGGGCUUGAAAUAGCUCUAGUUUCUUUUACAUCUGCCAACAAAAUUGGCCCUUUCUGACUGGAAAAAGGGCCCAUCCAGUGUAAAUUUCCGGUGGGGUCUUCUGUGUUCCCUUUUUCAUUGUGAACUUGAAUUCUGUGCGGUGAAUAGCAAUAUCUUGGCCUAUUCCAAAUUUUAGUUGAGGCAUCCACUGAGCAAUUUGAUAGCAAAGCAAGUC